rnacentral:rRNA from 1 species
AUUGAACGCUGGCGGCGUGCUUAACACAUGCAAGUCGAUCGGUAACGCGGGGCAACCCUGGCGACGAGAGGCGGACGGGUGAGGAACGCUUGGGAAUCUGCCUAUCAGCGGGGGACAACCCGGGGAAACUCGGGCUAAUACCGCAUACGCUCUACGGAGGAAAGCCGGGGACCGCAAGGCCUGGCACUGAUAGAUGAGCCCAAGUCGGAUUAGCUAGUUGGCGGGGUAACGGCCCACCAAGGCGACGAUCCGUAGCUGGUCUGAGAGGACGAUCAGCCACACUGGGACUGAGACACGGCCCAGACUCCUACGGGAGGCAGCAGUGGGGAAUAUUGGACAAUGGGGGAAACCCUGAUCCAGCGACGCCGCGUGGGUGAAGAAGGCCUGCGGGUUGUAAAGCCCUUUCGGUAGGGACGAAAGCUCUCGACCUAACACGUCGGGAGGUUGACUUAACCUACAAAAGAAGCACCGGCUAACUCUGUGCCAGCAGCAGCCGCCGUAA